rfam:Bifidobacterium stellenboschense strain DSM 23968 Contig17, whole genome shotgun sequence.
CGAGACCCCUUGAUGGCCGCGGCCCAAGUUCUGCAUAGGACGCGGGCUGAGGAACUUCCGGGCUCCAUAGAGCACGAUGGCGGAUAACGUCCGCCCAGGGCGACCUGAGAGAUAGCGCAGCAGAGAACAGACCGCCCGUCCUUGACGGGUAAGGGUGAAACGGCGGUGUAAGAGACCACCGGGCCCCUGGCAACAGCGGGCCGCAUGGCAAGCCUCAUCGGGAGCAAGGCCAAGCAGAUGGCGGUAAGGGCUGCUCGCCCGUGCCAUCGGGUAGGCUGCUAGAGCCUGGCGGCGACGUCAGGUCGAGAUGGAUGGCCAUCCGUGCCGCGCGUUCGCGCACGGCACGACAGAACCCGGGGUAUAAGGGGUCUCACCUU